rnacentral:rRNA from 1 species
AGUUUGAUCCUGGCUCAGAUGAAAGCUGCGGCAUGCUUAACACAUGCAGUCGAACGGGGUACUUCGGUACUUAGUGGCGGACGGGUGAGUAAGGCGUAGGAAUCUGCCCACGAGAGGGGGACAACCUGGGGAAACUCAGGCUAAUACCGCAUACGCUCGCGAGAGGAAAGCGGGGGACCUACGGGCCUCGCGCUGGUGGAAGAGCCUACGUCCGAUUAGCUAGUUGGCAGGGUAAAAGCCUACCAAGGCGACGAUCGGUAGCUGGUCUGAGAGGAUGAUCAGCCACACUGGGACUGAGACACGGCCCAGACUCCUACGGGAGGCAGCAGUGGGGAAUAUUGGACAAUGGGCGCAAGCCUGAUCCAGCAAUGCCGCGUGGGUGAAGAAGGCCUGCGGGUUGUAAAGCCCUUUAAGUGGGGAGGAACGGUUGGGUGUGAACAGCGCCUGAUUAUGACGUUACCCACAGAAUAAGCACCGGCUAACUCCGUGCCAGCAGCCGCGGUAAUAC